UAUGUUUUUAAUUGCAGAAAAUCCAACCUGACUCUGUCCACUUAAAUGGUUGGACCUUCAGGGUACAAAAUUUGCCAUAAUUUAACAAUGCAAUUAUUUUCUGAUUAAAUGAGACUCUCCCAUUCAUCACUGCCCCACGCCUGGAAAUCUGGAAACUACAAAAUAUGUGAACCAUCACAUCCAGGAUCGCCUUAAUUUGUUAACAACCCUUCGCGAAGUUACCUUUUCUAAACUCUCCUCCAGUUCCUGGUCCUGCAACAAGUGUCCUUCUCACCGCUGGGAACAAAGAGCAAUCGGCACCAAAGCCGAGAGACCUGCCAGGGCUUAGUCUCACGUUGACCCGAUGACCCAGUUUUAUCAAAAUAUCAUCCUAAAAUUUGUCACGCAUCAUAGUUUUUUCAUGGACAUAACUUCAAGAUUGAUUAGUUUCAUAUUUUUUUCUGUAUCAGUGUUUGAAUCAUCUAGAUUUAUUUCCGGGAUAAUUGUCAUCCUUACAAUUGCCGCUCAUUUAGUAGUUGAUUGCAUUUUACACCUGGAUACAAUUUUUACACAUUGGAGUUGUAACGGAUUUAAUGAAAUCCUCGGCCGAUAUGCCAUUUUGCAAAUAAUUUUGCAAGCUUCGUAUGAAAUUACGAGUUCUGCAGUAAUACUUUGCAUGUCAGUCGCAUUUUUGAGUUUAAUCAGUUGUAAUUUUGUGUGUCUGAAAAUGUAUGAUAAGUUUCCGAUUUCAAUUUAUUUAGUAGCGUUCACCUUAUCUGUGGUUGUUUCUGUACUACUUAAGGUAAUGAUGAACAUAAUUGUGGACAUUUACGAGAACGGUAAAGUUUUAAGGGCUAAGUUGCUCGUGGAAUUGUGCGAGCUGAGAAAUAUUAAGUAUUUCAAGAGAAAGUUGGCCAGUGUGAGGGUGGUCUCGUUGUACGGCGGAUUGCUGGGAUUUAACGUGUAUAAAGUGCAUACAUAUGUGAGGACGAGGUAUUACUGGGAAAUUGUGGAUUAUACGAUCAAUUUGUGCUUGUCGGUUGAAUUGUAGGGUGGACUUUUACGAUUGAAAGAGAAGGGGUUAAUAUAUAGAUGUGCAAGAAUUUUUUAGCGUAACAAUAGUAGUUGUUUAUCAAGUAGUUAUAAUUGACAACUGUCCUUAGGCGCAAUGUUUAAAUUAUGUACAUAGAUAAUUACGGAUAGAAAUAUGUAUAUAGUUCUAAAUAGGUGCAGACAUACCUAAAAUGUUUAUAUCCAUGUCUAAAGGCAUUUUGGACCGGAAAAGAUGAUAUAAUUGAAACCAUCUCAAAUAAAAAAUUGGAUAACCUGCAUUAAUUAACAAUGAGGGAUCCUGGAUGUAACUAAUGUCUCAUCGUUUAUGUAUACAUGUCCUACUUACAUUUUUACACACGUAUUUUACGACAUAUCAUGUCGGAUUUACAUACACAGGAUGCAACUAAGCUGCAAUAACCCAUUUAUAUCGAAAGGUUCGUGCGUAAGUAACAAAAAAAUACGAUCUGAGAAAUUGUCCGUUGUAGCGAGACAUUUAAACCACCAUGUUAUAUGUACAUAUGUAAUUUGUUUAUGGUACUAUAUCUUUGAUUCAAUUAUAAUACUAAAUAGG